CGGGAGGGGGGGGAGGGGGGGGCAACCUGCUCUCAGCUCCUCACCAGCUUAAAGCCAGGUUCAUCAUUUGACCUGCGUCCCCUCACAUCAGCCGUUCCUCCCAAAGGGCUGGAAACUGAAAGGUGUGCUGAGCAAAGCGGCCAGACACCCACAGAAGAAGGGGCGCUGACCCCCUGGUGCCUCCCUGUUUCAGACACGGAGGUGGCCAGAGACAGCAAGAAAAAGUGGCCGCCUAAAGAGCCUCGUGGUCAGGACACUCCUCGGAGCCGCAGGGCAAUCCAAAUUAAAUCCAGCAGAGCAGUGACUGGGAAAGAUCUUUUAUUGCUUGAAGCUGGCCCUGCUUCCCACCCGGCCAGGAUCAGAGGGAGAACAGGAAGGGGAGCUACUUGGAGUCGGUCCCCCUCGGGACACCAGGAAUGUGCAGCAAAGCCACCGUGCAAAGCUCCCCAUUUCAUCUCUGGGCACUGCUGAGGACCCCACCUCUGGCUGCUGUGCUGUGGGGUCUCAGCUGAUUCUCAUGAUGGUGCAAGCAUUCAUAGAAUAUCUUCUGCCUUAGCACUGAGGAAAAGAAACAAACCUCUUCAUCAGGCUCACAGGAUAAUCAAAACUGCUCAGUUAAAUAGUACUGACUCUGGCCUUGACAGUAAGAUUGACCUUGUGAAGGAGUUUGUAGGAGCAAUGUUCAAAAUCUGAGACUGAUUCUGUGUCCAGAAUCCACCCUGGAAGUUGGGGCAGACAAUGGGACAGUGGGGUCAGGGUGAUCAACAGGACUGAGAUCAGGGGACACAGGCAUGAAAAGAUGUAGACCAAAGUAAACGUGCUUUCAGCCUAAUUGAGCAAUGCUUUUGUUGUAGGUGUCUUGUGUCCAACACCAGGCAGGGCGGGAUGUGCACUUGAUGUACUUUGGAGAAGGAGGUACCCUGUGACAACAAAUACAUUCAGGAGCCUCUGACCACCACUGUUCCUGCCUGGUGGAGGGCUAGAAUGAGAAGGAGCAUCCAGGGGAGGUGACAGAGGAUCCUCUUGGCUACGUGUCACAAAGCAUAUUACCACAUUUUAAAGCUGGAUCGGGUGCCUGAUGACAUUUAGAGCUGUGACCUUGCUGAUGGAUGUGGUGGCAAAACAGAGGCUGCAGGGAGGGAUGGUUAGAAAUCCAUAGGGGAUUGAAGCCUGUAAGGUGACAAUGCCACCAAGAGGAGAGUAGCAUUUUCCCUUUUGCAAAACUCUU